UCAUAAUUAGGAGCCAUGUCCCAGUAUCUCUCUCAUAGUAUCAGAGAUUGCUCUCACUGUCACACCCUCUCUGUCAGACGUCUCUCACGCUCUCAAUCUCGAUUUCGCCUCUCUCCAUCUUCGGUCUCACCUUUCUUCAUCUUCGACGACGACAAUGAUCGCACCGAGAUCUGUUCAUCUCAUCCAAGCUGUGGUUCACAAAUAUACAGUAAAUAAGAAAGAGAAGAGUCCUCUCGCUAUGGAAGCAACUGGGUGUUAGUUUUUUGGCCAUGAAGUUGAACAGAGAGCUUGAGUCAGGUCUCAAUCCAACCCCAGAUCUAAUCUUGAGCUGUGGUAUUCACAUGUAAGCUCUAUGAUCUUUUUGGCUUAAUUGUUCAAAUGAUUCGCAGAUAGAGCUGGCAUAGGAUACUACCACAACGGGUAGGUUGCUGGUAGAGCAACAUACAUUAAAAUUGUUCCCAGUGUCAUUGGGAUUAGUUCUUAUUGUUCAUUGCUUUCCAUGUUAACCAAACAAAGAACAAUAAUUUCCUUUGCAUUUGCUCUUCUUUUUUUUUUUUAUUUGCCCUUUCCAAAUCCUGAAUUAAACAGAGCAUCAUCCAUUUGAUUUAUUCUAGUAACAUGUUGUCAACUCAUUGUGAAUUGUUACACUUUCUAAAAGGUUAAACUUCUAUGGAGGGGUGUACCUGCAAAUUUUAACAUGCUUAUAUUUUCAAGUGUUUUUUAUUUUGUUCUUGUCGCAUUUAGUCUUGCCAUUGCUAUCUCCUUCUCUAUAUGGAGCAUUUCAAAGUUCAUUUGUAGUACCUCUUUUACUUUUUGCAGCAUUAUAAUUUCAUCAUCUAGUUCAACAAGCGAAGUGUUUCCUUAUUUGUUUUUUGGGUAACUGCAAGCGAAGUGUUUCCAUCUACUCUUUGCCCCCAUAUUUUUGCUUGCCACCAUGGAAGAAUCCCAUAAUUCCAUGACUUCAUUGUCUAUUGCAACACCUAAAAGCUAAGAAGCACAGACACUUUUAAGAAGGU